rnacentral:lncRNA from 1 species
GGACAACACAGCUUCUGGAUGUUGAGUCUCAUUAUGGUCUGAGUAGGUAGGACAACACAGCUUCUGGAUGUUGAGUCUCAUUAUGGUCUGAGUAGGUAGGACAACACAGCUUCUGGAUGUUGAGUCUCAUUAUGGUCUGAGUAGGUGUGGACAACACAGCUUCUGGAUGUUGAGUCUCAUUAUGGUCUGAGUAGGUGUGGACGACAUAGCUUCUGGAUGUUGAGACUCAUUAUGGUCUGAGUAGGUGGGACAACACAGCUUCUGGAUGUUGAGUCUCAUUAUGGUCUGAGUAGGUGUGGACGACACAGCUUCUGGAUGCUGAGUCUCAUUAUGUUCUGAAUAGGUGGGACAACACAGCUUCUGGAUGUUGAGUCUCAUUAUGGUCUGAGUAGGUGGGACAACACAGCUUCUGGAUGUUGAGUCUCAUUAUGGUCUGAGUAGGUGUGGACAACACAGCUUCUGGAUGUUGAGUCUCAUUAUGGUCUGAGUAGGUGGGACAACACAGCUUCUGGAUGUUGAGUCUCA